GGGUGAGUAACACGUAGAUUACCUGCCCUCAAGACGGGGACACCGGGUGGAAACAGCGGCUAAUACCCGAUAUGCUCACAGGAUCGGGAGAUCGAGUGAGGAAAGCGCCCCUUCGGGGGAGAGUGUUUGAGGAGGGAUCUGCGACCCAUCAGCUAGUUGGUGAGGUAACGGCUCACCAAAGCGAAGACGGGUAGGGGGUGUGAGAGCAUGGCCCCCCACAAUGGGACUGAGACACGGCCCAUACUCCUACGGGAGGCAGCAGCGGGGAAUAUUGCGCAAUGGACGGAAGUCAGACGCAGCGACGCCGCGUGGGUGAGGAGGGCCUUCGGGUUGUAAAGCCCUUUUCAGGGGAGCGAGAAAGGACGGUACCCUUGGAAUAAGCGUCGGCUAACUACGUGCCAGCAGACGCGGUAAAGACGUAGGACGCAAGCGUUAUCCGGAUUUACUGGGCGGUAAGCGCCUGUAGGCGGUCAAGAUAGUCGGAUGUGAAAGCCCCGUGCUCAACGCGGGGAAGCCAUUCGA
rnacentral:rRNA from 1 species